rnacentral:rRNA from 1 species
CAGUAGCCGCGGGAACACGUAGGGUGCAAGCGUUAAUCGGAAUUACUGGGCGUAAAGCGUGCGCAGGCGGUUAUAUAAGACAGAUGUGAAAUCCCCGGGCUCAACCUGGGAACUGCAUUUGUGACUGUAUAGCUAGAGUACGGCAGAGGGGGAUGGAAUUCCGCGUGUAGCAGUGAAAUGCGUAGAUAUGCGGAGGAACACCGAUGGCGAAGGCAAUCCCCUGGGCCUGUACUGACGCUCAUGCACGAAAGCGUGGGGAGCAAACAGGAUUAGAUACCCGAGUAGUCCCUGUCUCUUAUAA